rnacentral:misc_RNA from 1 species
GAACAAUGUCGAAGCUACUGCUCAUCCACUCUCCUCACUUCACUCCAGUCUAUCGCCGAACCAUCACUUCCGUCCUCUCAAAACCUUAUCUCUGCCUCUCUCCCUCUCCCCUUCCUCUCCAUUCCAACACUCGUCAUCUCCAUCUCCUAACCCAUCACUCUCUCCUCCCUUCCUUUCCUUCCUUCUUUGUCUCCAGAAAUUUGUCUGCUCGGGCCUUCGAUUCCUCCUCAGAGUCUAAAACUCAG